rnacentral:rRNA from 1 species
AACGAACGCUGGCGGCAUGCCUAACACAUGCAAGUCGAACGAAACCUUCGGGUCUAGUGGCGCACGGGUGCGUAACGCGUGGGAACCUGCCCUUAGGUUCGGAAUAACUCCCCGAAAGGGGUGCUAAUACCGGAUAAUGUCUUCGGACCAAAGAUUUAUCGCCUUUGGAUGGGCCCGCGUUGGAUUAGCUAGUUGGUAGGGUAAAAGCCUACCAAGGCGACGAUCCAUAGCUGGUCUGAGAGGAUGAUCAGCCACACUGGGACUGAGACACGGCCCAGACUCCUACGGGAGGCAGCAGUGGGGAAUAUUGGACAAUGGGCGAAAGCCUGAUCCAGCAAUGCCGCGUGAGUGGUGAAGGCCUUAGGGUUGUAAAGCUCUUUUACCCGGGAUGAUAAUGACAGUACCGGGAGAAUAAGCUCCGGCUAACUCCGU